AGCUCAAAUUGUUGGAUUCCAAGGAAGAGAAUAGUUUCUGAUAGAAGACGACAGUGAAGAACUAAUUAAUUUUAAUCCGGACGAUAGCUCACUCAAGGUAAAGGAUUAUGGCGAUGGGAAGUUAGAACUGUGCUUGCCUAGCCUCGGAAGGGAGUACUGCGUCACCGUACAGAGGAAGCCACACCCACAACAUGAAAAAUCGGAAAUUAAAGGAAAACUAGAACUGGUGGAAUGCAUUCUGAAAAACAUUGCCGUCGGGUGGCGCUCCGCAGCUACACUUUGCUGGGACUCCCGGACAAGGCGGGAUUAUCCUCGAGCUUUUCGUCUCAAACCUCUGAGUGAAACCAUAGCAAGCGUAGAGUAAAAUAAAAUGUUAAACAUUAAUAAAA